rnacentral:rRNA from 1 species
UUGGAGGGCAAGUCUGGUGCCAGCAGCCGCGGUAAUUCCAGCUCCAAUAGCGUAUAUUAAAGUUGUUGCAGUUAAAAAGCUCGUAGUUGAAUUUCGGGAUCAAUAUUUCGGUCAUGCCGUUGGUAUGCACUGUUAUCAUUGAUUUCUCACCUUCUAAAGAACCGUAAUGCCAUUAAUUUGGUGUUACGGGGAAUUAGGACUGUUACCUUGAAAAAAUUAGAGUGUUUAAAGCAGGCUCACGCUUGAAUACAUUAGCAUGGAAUAAUGAAAUAGGACAUCCGAUUCAAUUUUGUUGGUUUCUAGGAUCGAUGUAAUGAUUAAUAGGGAUAGUUGGGGGCAUUAGUAUUCAAUUGUCAGAGGUGAAAUUCUUGGAUUUAUUGAAGACUAACUACUGCGAAAGCAUUUGCCAAGGAUGUUUUCAUUAAUCAAGAACGAAAGUUAGGGGAUCGAAGACGAUCAGAUACCGUCGUAGUCUUAACCAUAAGCUAUGCCGACUAGGGAUCGGAUGAUGUUAAUUUUUUAAUGACUCAUUCGGCGCCUUACGGGAAAC